ACGACUCUCGGCAACGGAUAUCUCGGCUCCCGCAUCGAUGAAGAACGUAGCGAAAUGCGAUACCUGGUGUGAAUUGCAGAAUCCCGCGAACCAUCGAGUCUUUGAACGCAAGUUGCGCCUGAGGCCACUCGGCCGAGGGCACGCCUGCCUGGGCGUCACGC
rnacentral:rRNA from 1 species